ACGCUCACACCUACGGGAAGCAGCAGUGGGGAAUACUGCACAAUGGAGGAAACUCUGAUGCAGCGAUGCCGCGUGAGGGAAGAAGGUUUUCGGAUUGUAAACCUCUGUCUUUGGGGACGAUAAUGACGGUACCCAACGGAGGAAGCUCCGGCUAACUACGUGCCAACAGCCGCGGUAAUCUGAGCGGGCUGGCAAGGC
rnacentral:rRNA from 1 species